rnacentral:rRNA from 1 species
CCUACGGGAGGCAGCAGUGGGGAAUCUUGCGCAAUGGGCGAAAGCCUGACGCAGCCAUGCCGCGUGAAUGAUGAAGGUCUUAGGAUUGCAAAAUUCUUUCACCGGGGACGAUAAUGACGGUACCCGGAGAAGAAGCCCCGGCUAACUUCGUGCCAGCAGCCGCGGUAAUACGAAGGGGGCUAGCGUUGCUCGGAAUUACUGGGCGUAAAGGGAGCGUAGGCGGACAUUUAAGUCAGGGGUGAAAUCCCAGAGCUCAACUCUGGAACUGCCUUUGAUACUGGGUGUCUUGAGUGUGAUAGAGGUAUGUGGAACUCCGAGUGUAGAGGUGAAAUUCGUAGAUAUUCGGAAGAACACCAGUGGCGAAGGCGGCAUACUGGAUCAUUACUGACGCUGAGGCUCGAAAGCGUGGGGAGCAAACAGGAUUAGAUACCCUGGUAGUCCACGCCGUAAACGAUGAUUGCUAGUUGUUGGGAUGUUUACAUCUCGGUGACGCAGCUAACGCAUUAAGCAAUCCGCCUGGGGAGUACGGUCGCAAGAUUAAAACUCAAAGAGUAGUAGCGNGNGAGAGCGACGACGACGACGAGGAGGAG